GGCAUGAACCACUACGCCUGGCUCAGGCUUUAUUUCGUAACGCGAAGGAAGAGAAUAUUAUCAUUUCCUUAUUUAUAUUUCAUGUUGGAAUGCUUAAAUCGAUAACCUUUGUAUUUUGAAGUGCGCGACAUGGAAGGUGAUCUGCAAGAGCUGCAUCAGUCAAACACCGGGGAUAAAUCUGGAUUUGGGUUCCGGCGUCAAGGUGAAGAUAAUACCUAAAGAGGAACACUGUAAAAUGCCAGAAGCAGGUGAAGAGCAACCACAAGUUUAAAUGAAGACAAGCUGAAACAACGCAAGCUGGUUUUAUAUUAGAUAUUUGACUUAAACUAUCUCAAUAAAGUUUUGCAGCUUUCACCAAA
rnacentral:lncRNA from 10 species